CGGUUGCGGCUCUGGUGUUCACUGUUAGGUUCUUGUGUUGCCUACCUGUUUAGCGGUAUUCAUGCGCCUCUUAAGACCCGUUCCAUCCAGACCCCUUCUAGGGCUGCUUGGGGAUUCGAAAGUGAUGCGUGUUUUGCGUUAGCUGUUUAUCGUAACGGCUGGCGUGGCCUCAUGUGUCUAUUGUUCCCUUGGAUGCGGUGCAUGCGGCGAACGUGGGCUGACGAUUGUGCCCCGUUGAGUCCCUUCGAUUUAUCGGUUGCCUUGAAUGACACUUUGCCGUAGUGCUGGUCUUGCUUCACCAUUCGUGGUGGCAACACUUGCACCUCUAGCAGAGCCGUUGAUGG
rnacentral:misc_RNA from 1 species